UCCUGGUUAACCCAGGCAGUCUCGUUAGAGUUCCCACCAUUACAUGUUGGCAACUAACGAUAAGGGUUGCGCUCGUUGCUGGACUUAACCAAACACCUCACGGCACGAGCUGACGACAGCCAUGCAGCACCUAUAUAGAGACCCUUUCGGGAAAUAUCAUCUCUGAUAUCGUCCUCUACAUUUCGAGCCCAGGUAAGGUUCUUCGCGUUGCAUCGAAUUAAACCACAUGCUCCACUGCUUGUGCGGGCCCCCGUCAAUUCUUUUGAGUUUCACCCUUGCGAGCGUACUCCCCAGGCGGUAUACUUAAUGCGUUAGCUCCGGAACAGAGGGGGUUGAGCCCUCCUACUCCUAGUAUACAUCGUUUAAGGCAUGGACUAC
rnacentral:misc_RNA from 1 species